rnacentral:rRNA from 1 species
GAGCGGCGCAAGGGUGAGUAACGCGUGAGCGAUCUGCCCCCGACUGCGGGAUAGCCCCGGGAAACCGGGAUUAAUACCGCAUGGUGAUGAUCAUUCGAUUGAUCAUCUAAAGGUUGACUCCGGUCGGGGAUGAGCUCGCGUCCCAUUAGCUUGUUGGUAGGGUAACGGCCUACCAAGGCCGAGACGGGUAGCUGGUCUGAGAGGACGGUCAGCCACACUGGGACUGAGACACUGCCCAGACUCCUACGGGAGGCUGCAGUCGAGAAUCUUCCGCAAUGGGCGCAAGCCUGACGGAGCGAAUGCCGCGUGAGGGAUGACGGCCUUCGGGUUGUAAACCUCUGUCAGGGGGGACGAAAACAAUGACGGUAACCCCAGAGGAAGCCACGGCUAACUACGUGCCAGCAGCCGCGGUAAUACGUAGGUGGCCGAGCGUUAAUUCGGAAUUUACUUGGGCCUAAAGGGUCCCGCCAGGGGCUUCCUGUCAAGUCCGGGCGUGAAAGCCCCGAGCUUCAACUUCCGGUCCGGCGUUGGAUACUGACCGGACUUGAGUGCCACGAUGGGAGACCAGAAUUCCUGUUGUACCGGUGGAAUGCGUAGAUAUCAAGGAAGCAUACCGGCGGCGAAAGCGGCUCUCUGGGCGUGCUACUGACCCUCAGGGACGAAAGUUGUGGGUAGCGAACAGGAUUAGAUACCCUGGUAGUCCACACCGUAAACGUUGUGUACUAGAUGCGGNCGGCGCUCCGGUGUUGUCCGUGUCCAAGUUAACGCGAUAAGUACACCGCCUGGGGACUACGGCCGCAAGGCUAAAACUCAAAGGAAUUGACGGGGGCCCGCACAAGCGGUGGAGCAUGUGGCUUAAUUCGAGGCAACGCGAAGAACCUUACCCGGGUUUGACAUAUAUCUGCCGUUCCGCGAAAUCGGAAUUUCUCUUCGGAGAUGGAUAUACAGGUGCUGCAUGGCUGUCGUCAGCUCGUGCCGUGAGGUGUUCGGUUAAGUCCGGCAACGAGCGCAACCCAUAUUGUCAGUUGCUACCAGGUUAUGCUGGGCACUCUGGCAAGACUGCCCGUGUCAAGCGGGAGGAAGGCGUGGACGACGUCAAGUCAGUAUGGCCCUUACACCCGGGGCUGCACACGUGCUACAAUGGGCGGUACAGAGGGCUGCCAGGCCGCGAGGCCGCGCGAAUCCCUAAAACCGUCCCCAGUUCGGAUCGGAGUCUGCAAUUCGACUCCGUGAAGUCGGAAUCGCUAGUAAAGGCGUAUCAGCAAUGACGCCUUGAAUACGUUCCCGGGCCUUGUACACACCGCCCGUCACAUCAUGGAAGCCGGCUGCACCCGAAG